rnacentral:rRNA from 1 species
GACAGAGGGUGCAAACGUUGUUCGGAAUUACUGGGCGUAAAGCGCGUGUAGGCGGCCAUGCAAGUCGGGUGUGAAAGCCCUCGGCUCAACUGAGGAAGUGCACCCGAAACUACGUGGCUAGAGUCCUGGAGAGGAAGGUGGAAUGCUCGGUGUAGAGGUGAAAUUCGUAGAUAUCGAGCGGAACACCGGUGGCGAAGGCGGCCUUCUGGACAGUGACUGACGCUGAGACGCGAAAGCGUGGGGAG